rnacentral:rRNA from 1 species
UACGUAGGGGGCAAGCGUUGUCCGGAAUCAUUGGGCGUAAAGCGCGUGUAGGCGGCCCGGUAAGUCCGCUGUGAAAGUCCAGGGCUCAACCCUGGAAUGCCGGUGGAUACUGUCGGGCUCGAGUCCGGAAGAGGCGAGUGGAAUUCCUGGUGUAGCGGUGAAAUGCGCAGAUAUCAGGAGGAACACCAGUGGCGAAGGCGACUACCUGGCCUGUUCUUGACGCUGAGGCGCGAAAGCUAGGGGAGCAAACGGG